GGAAUCUGUCACUAACUGUGACUUCAGGCACAGAUACAAUCAUGAACAAAGAAGACCUAUUGGAGGUGACGCUGCUGCAGAGACAGAAGUGACCGUGCAUACAUACAGAGAGGAAGGGAUGGAUCUGAGAUCUAUUAAAGAUUGAGGAAGUCAAGACUUGGUGACCUAUCAAAUAUGGCAGUGAGGAGGAGAGAGGGGUCAGAAAUGCGCCCAGAGGUUUUAGGUGAGGUGACUUGGUGGAGGGAUUUUGGAUGGGGAUGGGGGUUAGGGAGAGCUGGAGACCCACAUUUAAGACUGUUAAAUCGGAGAGGCUUGACAAAUCUCUAAGUGGAGAUUUGUAAGAGGUGUUGGAUACAUGGAACUGCAGCUUGUAGGGGAUGAACAGGACCAUCAUCAGUACCACAUGAAGGCUAACACCAUGGGAGUGGGUGAGCUCCCUCUGGGAAAGCAGGAGGAGCAUUCAAAGUGAGGAGAGUGGAGAAGAAACUCCCUGGGAUGCUUUGGAGAUGGCUGGAGGAGAUGGAGACAGAGAACAAACUCCACAUGGGAGGUAUACCAGGCAUACCAAAUGGGAGGGAUAUCACAGCCUCAUGGAGAGAAGAAAUCGUAUAAGAAGGAGAAACAAACCAGUGCAUCCGUGGUUUUGGCAAAUAAGGAGGUUACUGACCACCUUUGUCCAGAGUAAUUUCAUUAUAUUGGUGUGAACCCCAGCCAAAGUAUAGUGGAUUGAGAUGUGAUAGAAAUGUGAUCAAUUAUCUUUUAUUUACCAAGGCAGAUAUAAGUUAGCGCUUUGUGGGAGAUCAUGGCGACUGAUGGCAGAAGGUCCAUAAGUGGGCACUCUGGUGUC